GAAUGUUGGAGAGCUGACCUUCAGUUGAA
rnacentral:piRNA from 1 species